AGACGUCUACAUUAGAUACCCCCGGUAGUCCCAGCCGUAAACUAUGCGCGUUAGGUGUAUCGGUGACCACGAGUCACCGAGGUGCCGAAGGGAAACCGUGAAACGUGCCGCCUGGGAAGUACGGUCGCAAGGCUGAAACUUAAGGGAAUUGGCGGGGAGCACCACAACGGGUGGAGCCUGCGGUUUAAUUGGACUCAACGCCGGAAAUCUCACCGGAUAGGACAGACAUAUGAUAGUCGGGCUGAAGACUCUACUUGAUGAUCUG
rnacentral:rRNA from 1 species